rnacentral:rRNA from 1 species
UUCUACGGCCAUACCACCCUGAACGUGCCCGAUCUCGUCUGAUCUUGGAAGCUAAGCAAGGUCGGGCCUGGAUAGUACUUGGAUGGGAGAAAGCUAGAAAUCACCCCCCGGGGGAU